UAAGGGUAUAUUGCAAACUUUUGUUUUGCCCAUCUAAUGUUUUAGAGAUUUCACUUUUUGUAAUAUAAAGGUACACACAACCGGCCUCUUGGCCUCCAAUGUACAACAAAAAAAAGGGUACACAACCAGUCAACCACCGAGAGAUGAAUCUAGAAAAAUAUUUGACAUUGACAAGUAACUCUCUAAAGAAUAUCAAAUUAAUGUCAAAUCUGAAGGGAACUUUGCAACAACCAAGCCUAGGGCUUGGCUUAUCCGACUGGAAUCACUGGAUAGUGUUGAGCAUUCACUCAUUCACUAGGUAAGCCAUAGUUUUGAUAUGGACCACACCACCACAAUAACAUUCAUAUGUUAUGCAUAACCACAUGUAUAAUUUCCCUUGAGUGAAAGCAGUGUUUGACUUCCACAGCAGGAGACAAGAAUGCAUCUACUAUAUCUACAUUAAUAUAUACAAAUGGAUUGCAAUAAAUAUAAUUUACACAUGGAUGAUUUGCAUCUCCUAAGAGAAAAAUAUACUAGACAAUGCAAUGAGACCAAUGUUGACAAUACAAUGGAACCUACUUACU
rnacentral:lncRNA from 1 species